AUUUCAGGAGCGCUCCCAAGGUUGCGCCAGGCUCGAGUGAUUCCAGUGAUUUGCGCUGAUUGCACAUUUCUCAGCACCGCUGCAUGCCCAGUGACUCACUAGGGCUGGAACAGCCACAUCAGCAUUGUACUGACCUCUGGAUCCAUUGCAUUAAAGCAGAGGUUAUCGGUAGCCCGGAGGUUCACAUGCCAAGAAAGCGAGGAGGAGGAGGGGCAGGAAGAGGAGCCAGAGGGGACACACCCAGGGCGAUCAGUCUGGAACACGUAGCAUAUGCUCUUAAAGUUUUGCAUGGCACACUGGACCUCCUGCUGUUUGGGAUAUUCUCCAAUGGUUUCCUCACUGAAGAAUGCUUUUCACUCGUAAGCUUGAACUAGAGCCUGCUUAAACAUGUUUAUUUAUUCAUUGAUACAAGAAGGUAAUGUUUCUGUUGACUAAAU
rnacentral:lncRNA from 13 species